AGCGAACGCUGGCGGCAGGCCUAAUACAUGCAAGUCGACCGGCCGUAGCAAUACGGCAGCGGCAGACGGGAGAGUAACACGUGGGAACGUACCCUUCGGUUCGGAACAACCCAGGGAAACUUGGGCUAAUACCGGAUACGUCCGUAAGGAGAAAGAUUUAUCGCCGAAGGAUCGGCCCGCGUCUGAUUAGCUUGUUGGUGAGGUAACGGCUCACCAAGGCGACGAUCAGUAGCUGGUCUGAGAGGAUGAUCAGCCUCACUGGGACUGAGACACGGCCCAGACUCCUACGGGAGGCAGCAGUAGGGAAUAUUGGACAAUGGGCGCAAGCCUGAUCCAGCCAUGCCGCGUGAGUGAUGAAGGCCUUAGGGUUGUAAGGCUCUUUCGGCGGGGAAGAUAAUGACGGUACCCGCAGAAGAAGCCCCGGCUAGCUUCGUGCCAGCAGCCGCCGUAA
rnacentral:rRNA from 1 species